rnacentral:piRNA from 1 species
UGGUAAUGGAAUAAAGGACGCAUGG